AGACUGUUGAUGGUGUGGACAGUCCUGAAGAAGUUCCUUGAAGCGCUCCCAAGCAUGAUAAAUAUUCUCUUCUAUCUUCUAUUUGAAGCACACUAUCUCAUUGCAAAGUCU
rnacentral:snoRNA from 1 species